UUGCCCCAGUAACGGCGAGUGAAGCGGCAACAGCUCAAAUUUGAAAUCUGGCCUCCGGGUCCGAGUUGUAAUUUGUAGAGGAUGCUUUUGGCGAGGUGCCUUCCGAGUUCCCUGGAACGGGACGCCAUAGAGGGUGAGAGCCCCGUCUGGUCGGACACCGAGCCUCUGUAAAGCUCCUUCGACGAGUCGAGUAGUUUGGGAAUGCUGCUCAAAAUGGGAGGUAUAUGUCUUCUAAAGCUAAAUAUUGGCCAGAGACCGAUAGCGCACAAGUAGAGUGAUCGAAAGAUGAAAAGCACUUUGAAAAGAGGGUUAAAAAGUACGUGAAAUUGUUGAAAGGGAAGCGCCUAUGACCAGACUUGGGCCCGGUGAAUCAUCCAGCGUUCUCGCUGGUGCACUUUGCCGGGCACAGGCCAGCAUCAGUUUGGCGCGGGGGAAAAAGGUUUUGGGAAUGUGGCUCCCUCGGGAGUGUUAUAGCCCAUUGCGUAAUACCCUGCGCCGGACUGAGGUACGCGCAUCGCAAGGAUGCUGGCGUAAUGGUCAUCAGCGACCCGUCUUGAAACACGGACCAAGGAGUCGUCUUCGUAUGCGAGUGUUCGGGUGUCAAACCCCUACGCGUAAUGAAAGUGAACGCAGGUGAGAGCUUCGGCGCAUCAUCGACCGAUCCUGAUGUUCUCGGAUGGAUUUGAGUAAGAGCAUACGGGGCCGGACCCGAAAGAAGGUGAACUAUGCCUGUAUAGGGUGAAGCCAGAGGAAACUCUGGUGGAGGCUCGCAGCGGUUCUGACGUGCGAAUCGAUCGUCAAAUAUGGGCAUGGGGGCGAAAGACUAAUCGAACCUUCUAGUAGCUGGUUUCCGCCGAAGUUUCCCUCAGGAUAGCAGUGUUGAACUCAGUUUUAUGAGGUAAAGCGAAUGAUUAGGGACUCGGGGGCGCUAUAUUGCCUUCAUCCAUUCUCAAACUUUAAAUAUGUAAGAAGCCCUUGUUACUUAAUUGAACGUGGGCAUUCGAAUGUAUCAACACUAGUGGGCCAUUUUUGGUAAGCAGAACUGGCGAUGCGGGAUGAACCGAACGCGAGGUUAAGGUGCCGGAGUGGACGCUCAUCAGACACCACAAAAGGUGUUAGUACAUCUUGACAGCAGGACGGUGGCCAUGGAAGUCGGAAUCCGCUAAGGACUGUGUAACAACUCACCUGCCGAAUGUACUAGCCCUGAAAAUGGAUGGCGCUCAAGCGUCCCACCCAUACCUCGCCCUCAGGGUAGAAACGAAGCCCUGAGGAGUAGGCGGACGUGGAGGUCAGUGACGAAGCCU
rnacentral:rRNA from 1 species